rnacentral:rRNA from 1 species
UACAGAGGGGGCAAGCGUUUAUUCGGAAUUAUUGGGCGUAAAGGGCGCGUAGGCGGCCUUUCAAGUGACGGGUGAAAGCCCUCGGCUUAACCGAGGAACUGCCUGUCAGACUGGAAGGCUUGAGACCGGGAGAGGUGAGUGGAAAUUCCCAGUGUAGCGAUGAAAAUGCGUAGAUAUUGGGAGGAACACCAGUGGCGAAGGCGAGUCCCUGGACAACACCUGACACUGAGGCACGAAAGCUAGGGGGGCAAACAGG